AGACCCGAAACCCGGUGAUCUAGCCAUGGGCAGGUUGAAGGUUGGGUAACACUAACUGGAGGACCGAACCGACUAAUGUUGAAAAAUUAGCGGAUGACCUGUGGCUGGGGGUGAAAGGCCAAUCAAACCGGGAGAUAGCUGGUUCUCCCCGAAAGCUAUUUAGGUAGCGCCUCGUGAAUUCAUCUCCGGGGGUAGAGCACUGUUUCGGCUAGGGGGCCAUCCCGGCUUACCAACCCGAUGCAAACUGCGAAUACCGGAGAAUGUUAUCACGGGAGACACACGGCGGGUGCUAACGUCCGUCGUGAAGAGGGAAACAACCCAGACCGCCAGCUAAGGUCCCAAAGUCAUGGUUAAGUGGGAAACGAUGUGGGAAGGCCCAGACAGCCAGGAUGUUGGCUUAGAAGCAGCCAUCAUUUAAAGAAAGCGUAAUAGCUCACUGGUCGAGUCGGCCUGCGCGGAAGAUGUAACGGGGCUAAACCAUGCACCGAAGCUGCGGCAGCGACACUAUGUGUUGUUGGGUAGGGGAGCGUUCUGUAAGCCUGUGAAGGUGGCCUGUGAGGGUUGCUGGAGGUAUCAGAAGUGCGAAUGCUGACAUAAGUAACGAUAAAGCGGGUGAAAAGCCCGCUCGCCGGAAGACCAAGGGUUCCUGUCCAACGUUAAUCGGGGCAGGGUGAGUCGACCCCUAAGGCGAGGCCGAAAGGCGUAGUCGAUGGGAAACGGGUUAAUAUUCCCGUACUUGGUGUUACUGCGAAGGGGGGACGGAGAAGGCUAUGUUGGCCGGGCGACGGUUGUCCCGGUUUAAGCGUGUAGGUGUGUGUUCCAGGUAAAUCCGGUUCACUUUAACACUGAGGCGUGACGACGAGGCACUACGGUGCUGAAGCAACAAAUGCCCUGCUUCCAGGAAAAGCCUCUAAGCAUCAGGUAACAUCAAAUCGUACCCCAAACCGACACAGGUGGUCAGGUAGAGAAUACCAAGGCGCUUGAGAGAACUCGGGUGAAGGAACUAGGCAAAAUGGUGCCGUAACUUCGGGAGAAGGCACGCUGACA
rnacentral:rRNA from 1 species